rnacentral:rRNA from 1 species
ACGGGAGGCAGCAGUGAGGAAUAUUGGUCAAUGGACGGAAGUCUGAACCAGCCAAGUCGCGUGCGGGAGGAAGGCCCUACGGGUCGUAAACCGCUUUUGUACGGGGAUAAAGUCACCCACGUGUGGGUGUUUGUAGGUACCGUAAGAAUAAGGAUCGGCUAACUCCGUGCCAGCAGCCGCGGUAAUACGGAGGAUCCGAGCGUUAUCCGGAUUUAUUGGGUUUAAAGGGUGCGCAGGCGGGCUGCUAAGUCUCCGGUGAAAUGUCAGGGCUCAACCUUGGCACUGCCGGAGAUACUGGCGGCCUUGAGAGUGGCGGAGGUAUCCGGAAUGUGUGGUGUAGCGGUGAAAUGCAUAGAUAUCGCGAAGAACUCCGAUUGCGUAGGCAGCUGACCAGGCCGUAAAUGACGCUCAUGCACGAAAGUGCGGGGAUCGAACAGGAUUAGAUACCCUGGUA